UACGGGGGGAGCAAGCGUUGUUCGGAUUUACUGGGCGUAAAGGGCGCGUAGGCGGUCAGCACAAGUCAGUUGUGAAAUCUCCGGGCUUAACUCGGAAAGGUCAACUGAUACUGUGCGACUAGAGUGCAGAAGGGGCAACUGGAAUUCUCGGUGUAGCGGUGAAAUGCGUAGAUAUCGAGAGGAACACCUGCGGCGAAGGCGGUGCUGG
rnacentral:rRNA from 1 species